rnacentral:rRNA from 1 species
GGGUGAGUAAUACAUCGGAACGUACCUUGUAGUGGGGGAUAGCUCGGCGAAAGCCGGAUUAAUACCGCAUACGCUCUGAGGAGGAAAGCGGGGGACCUUCGGGCCUCGCGCUACAAGAGCGGCCGAUGUCAGAUUAGCUAGUUGGUGAGGUAAAAGCUCACCAAGGCGACGAUCUGUAGCUGGUCUGAGAGGACGACCAGCCACACUGGGACUGAGACACGGCCCAGACUCCUACGGGAGGCAGCAGUGGGGAAUUUUGGACAAUGGGCGAAAGCCUGAUCCAGCAAUGCCGCGUGUGUGAAGAAGGCCUUCGGGUUGUAAAGCACUUUUGUCCGGAAAGAAAUCCUCUGGGUUAAUACCUCGGGGGGAUGACGGUACCGGAAGAAUAAGCACCGGCUAACUACGUGCCAGCAGCCGCGGUAAUACGUAGGGUGCAAGCGUUAAUCGGAAUUACUGGGCGUAAAGCGUGCGCAGGCGGUUUUGUAAGACGGAUGUGAAAUCCCCGGGCUUAACCUGGGAACUGCAUUCGUGACUGCAAGGCUAGAGUAUGGCAGAGGGGGGUAGAAUUCCACGUGUAGCAGUGAAAUGCGUAGAGAUGUGGAGGAAUACCGAUGGCGAA